GACGGAGGAUGCAAGCGUUAUCCGGAAUUAUUGGGCGUAAAGCGUGCGCAGGCGGCGCGUUAAGACAGGUGUGAAAUCCCCGAGCUUAACUUGGGAAUGGCGCUUGUGACUGGCGUGCUGGAGUGUGGCAGAGGGAGGUGGAAUUCCACGUGUAGCAGUGAAAUGCGUAGAGAUGUGGAGGAACACCGAUGGCGAAGGCAGCCUCCUGGGCCAGCACUGACGCUCAUGCACGAAAGCGUGGGGAGCAAACAGG
rnacentral:rRNA from 1 species